UCUCAUAUUGUAUUUUCUUGUAGUGUACUAUUGUAUUUUCUUGUAGACUCUUAUUAUAUAUUUCUUGUAGUCUCAUAGUGGGAAUAUUAUUUCUGUAGUUUCAGUAGGAGGUUGUGUAAUCUUUUGUUUGUGUAACUGUUGAGGGAUCCUGAUAUAGCAAAUCUCAAUUAAAGUCAACAUGGCAAUAUGAUAGCUAGCCCACAUAAAUGAGCAAAAAAGACCAAAUAACUGCUCCAAAACAAACUGCAAACAAGGCAAAUAUAAGGGGUUUCUGUGUGUAAACCAAAACAUAGUCUCAGCAAAUCAUACUGGCUUAAAGCAGAAAGACAGUUAGAAUAAAUAAUAAUAUUUAUUAAAAAAAUCAUUUAAUUUUGGC
rnacentral:lncRNA from 1 species